rnacentral:tRNA from 1 species
CAGGGAGACAACAAAAUGUUUAAUAUUAUUAUUUUGUCACCUUAGGUCGAUCGGUAUCUCACGUUCUUAAUUUAUUAAGAAUUUCAUUUCCUAAGUUUUUCUAGGUCACACCCAUUUUUUUUUCCUGGGCCAUUAGCUCAGGUGGUUAGAGCGCACCCCUGAUAAGGGUGAGGUCCCUGGUUCAAGUCCAGGAUGGCCCAUAUUUCUAUGUUGGGGGUAUAGCUCAGUUGGUAGAGCGCCUGCUUUGCAAGCAGGAUGUCAGCGGUUCGAGUCCGCUUACCUCCACUGAUUACCACCUCUUCCAUAAUCUAUAGAAAGGAAAAAUUUUUGAGUUGUGAACACAAUUCUGAACGAAUCUAGCUUCCUAAUGGAAUCAUUAAGAUGCUGGACUCAUUGAAUUAAUUUCAUUGUUUUCAGAGAACCUUGACAACUGCAUAGAUUAUUUUUAAAGACAAUAAGCAUCUUUAAUGAUGCAGAUUUAUUAUUUGUGCGAAAGCAUUAAUAACAAUUCUAUAUAAGCUGAUGCUUCAAUUUUGAAGUUAUU